GCCAGGAGCGGACCGCCUUGGUCUGACACGAAAAACGGUUUAUUCUUGUACCUGGCAUUCUCUUGGUAUGUUAUUAAAUUACUGUUAGUAUGAUCAGAGCUUGGUUUGCUUCCCCAGCAGACUGAUUCCCGUAAAUGGCGCCCAACGUUGGGACUUGGCUCCUGCUCGUCGGACUGCGUACUUCCUCCGGUAGGCUUGUGGGAGAAUCUGCCUCGGGUCUGGGAUUGUCGUCGGUAUGGCUGGAGACUAGCAUCUGCUUCUUUUUAUAGAAGGUCAUUUGGUCAUGCCUCAGCAACUCCGAAAGCGAUCGGCGAGUAGCUGCGCAGGAUGGACAUUGGAGAGCGUUCGCAGGGCCCGAACAGCGCCAUCCAGAAACCAGGGCUCAGCUGACCCUGAAAGAGCCCAGAACGCCAGGGCUGCGGCGACUUAGACCAUCGUGGAAUCUGGUCGUCCGGUAUCUUGGGCAUCGUGUUCGAAGUGGUCCUCGCAACCCCGCCCGCUCAGAGAUGAUGCACCACAGGUUUCGCCGCCAUGUCAGGGACUCUUUCUUCAAGAUCGCCAUCCCGCAGACCUUGUCAUACCCAAUACAGAGGAUGAGCAUCGCCUUUUGUGCCCAGUUUGUCUGGUUCUCGAGUUUCACCGAGAAGCUCAUCGUCGCGGUUCCCUGCAUCGCGCCAAAGCAGAGACCCACCGAGAGCGCCAUCGCCGCUCCCCUCCAAAGAGGAAGGCCGGAACUUCCCCGAGGAAGUGGGAAAUCUGCUCAUUGACAUCCACCCGGAAGAGCUCUGAACUUUGCCAUGGCUUGUGAAUUGGGCUGCCGACAGCCCGUGCCUGGUGCACCUAUAGAACUUUUUCCGCGGAAUCCUUCUUGCUUAUUUAAGUUUCUUAGACGCGUGCUGCGUCUGUACCUUGUGUUUUGAAGCAUUUCUUGUCUAAAAUAGCUAUUAACAAGCUUUCCCCGGUUACUACUUGAAGUCUACAUUGUUUUUUGGGCGGGGGAAUGUGGGGAAAACAUGUGAACGAUUAUCUAAUCGCACGACACGAUGACCUGUCCACUGUUGAUAGCAGUGACUGAGGGUACGGUUUCCAGGUAUAUCUGGGGCACGUGUUGGCAAUGGGGGCAGUGUCUUACUGCUUAAAAACGAUGCCGCGUUAUGCAGAAGGGCUUUUCCCUCGACGUCGCCAGGAGCGGACUGCCGUAGUCUGGCACGGAAAAACUGUUUCUUCUUGUACCCGGCAUUCUGUUGGUAUGUUAUUAAAUGACUGUUAGUAUGA